GGGGGAGGACAGGGUAACGUUUAUGUAUGAAUGUACGAUCUGCGACUAUACUUUAAAAGCUGCCUGUAAUAGUUUUCUUUCUAUAGAUAUUACAAUGCUGAUCGACUGAAUAAUUAAUGGUAAUUAUUCUAUGAUUGUAGGCCUUCUGACUGGGACCCAGGCGAUUUGGGGGCGAAGGAAGGGCGAAAGCUAAUUCAUGACUAUUACUGUUUAUUACUAUUAAUUAAAACGAAACAUGUGAAGGAAGCAUAACAGAACUUUACACAUUGACUCGUUCUUUAAAAACAUCAUGUAUGACUAUUAAUUAAAACGGAGUAUUUGAGGGUAAAGCAUGAUAUGCGAUACACAUACUAAUCGUCAAAUUCCCCACUCAUGAAACUUAUUUAUACUUGUCAAAUCUUGCCCUU